CUCCUCUCCUGGUCGUCCAAGGCGCGAGGGCUCAGUUGUUCUCCAUGGUUUCUUGGAUCCAGUCCAGGACCCCGGAGUUGCUGCAGAACACCCACCCCCAUCCUUCCCAGAGCAGGUCUCACCUGGCAGGAGCCCCGGCCCCCCUCCCACAGGCCGGCGCAGAGCAUGCUCUCAGAGAUGUGGCCUGGGUACGCCCGAUGGCAGAGCCGGGGCUCCAGGAUGCUGAUGUUGGCACACUGCAGCGUCAGUGGGUACUCCACUGUUGGGAAAGCAGGUCGGUAAAAGGUCAGCAGCUGCCUCCUCGCAACUCAGCCCUCCCCCUCCCCCCGCUUUUCGAAGACGGACCCACCGCCCCACAGCACAAGACUCUCCAGACUCUCCAAGACAGGAACAAGUGACAAAGCAACAGGAUCACAGUUUGGAGGAGAGACAGAUGGGGACGAAGGGGAGAGGGCCGGAGAGACAGAGAAAGAUGCAGAGGGCCAAGAGCCAGUACUGCCGUGGGAAGCCGAAUUUGACUAAUGGAUAUGCUGAUUUCUGACUCUGAGUGACAUAGACCUUAUUUCAGUUCUGAGAUGCAUGUAUUUUCACAAGUAAACAUCUCUGAAAUCAGGAUGUGCCUUCCUAGUAAAUGAUGUCAUACAGGGAUGGAUGGAGACUUCCCUGGUGGUCCAGUGGUUAUGAAUCCAUCUGCCAGUGCAGGGAAUGCGGGUUCG